AUGCAGUCGAGCGAUUAAAGCAGCAAUGCAUAUAAAGCGGCGAACGGGUGAGUAACAGGUGGACAACCUACCCUCUGGCGGGGGACAACAGCUGGAAACGGCUGCUAAUACCGCAUGUGAUAGCAUUUCUUUGGAAGUGUUAGGAAAGGCGCGUUUGCGUCACCAGGGGAUGGGUCCGCCCCCCAUUAGCUUGUUGGUGUGAUAACAGCGCACCAAGGCUCCGAUGGGUAGCCGAGCUGAGAGGUUGAUCGGCCACACUGGGACUGAGACACGGCCCAGACACCUACGGGUGGCAGCAGUAGGGAAUAUUGGACAAUGGACGAAAGUCUGAUCCAGCCAUGCCGCGUGAGUGACGAAGGUCUUCGGAUCGUAAAACUCUUUUAUGAGGGAAGAACAUCCCGGGGAGGAAAUGCCCCGGGUCUGACGGUACCUCAGGAAUAAGGGACGGCUAACUCCGUGCCAGCAGCCGCGGUAAUACGGAGGUCCCUAGCGUUGUUCGGAAUUACUGGGCGUAAAGGGGGCGCAGGCGGACAGGUCAGUGGAAAGUGGAAGCCCAAGGCUCAACCUUGGAAAGCCUUUCCAUACUGCCUGUCUUGAGUUCGUGAGAGGAAAGCGGAAUUCAGGGUGUAGCGGUGAAAUGCUUAGAUAUCCUGAGGAACACCAAUGGCGAAAGCAGCUUUCUGGCACGUUACUGACGCUGAGGCCCGAAAGCGUGGGGAGCGAACGGGAUUAGAUACCCCGGUAGUCCACGCCGUAAACGUUGUGCACUAGGUGCAGGAGGUA
rnacentral:rRNA from 1 species